UUACGUUACAGAUUGAGCUAUCAGUCAGGGAAUUUAUCCGCUAUAAGAGUUCGUAAGCAAUCGUUUUCGGCUACAAAUCAAACCUCAUAAUGACACUAUUUUAUAUUAAGCAUAAAUCUCAUGAUAAAUGUCAUAAACACAACUGUAAAUAUUAAUAAAGAAUAAACAGUUUGUUAUAAAGUAAUAUGCUGGUGUUUAUUUUUUUGAACGCCAUUUGCGUUAAAAAUUAGGUUUCAGCUCGUGUAGGUUGACAAUUGGAAUCCAGGAAAUACAAAACCUGUGUAGGGUGUAAAACUUCCGGAGCUUAAGAGUACGUAAAGAGAAACUGACUUUCGAUCUGAAUACUUCGUUUAAUAGAAAUGCUCAAGUAGACUUUACGCAUCCUACCUUUGCUGGUUGAGCGAAAUCGUCGAGGGGAUAAAUUCGGCACACAAUCCGUGUGUCCCAGCGAAGUGGUAUCACUUGACCAUCACGAAUGUGCCAAUCCAGUACCUCCAGCAUCUUUUAUUUAAAACGGGGGGACUUCUCAAUAGCGUUAAGACGGCAAGACAUAUGCGGCCUCCGUUAUGGAAAGAGAAUGUUCCUACCUAUUCCUUCCAAACCACUGACAGCGCAAGAGUGCUAAGUGCCCUCGAAGAGCAACGGAAUAUUGAAGUGUCAACCACCCAGGCAUAUAAUGGGAAGGAGCAGAUACCGGUUGGACAUUUCACGGCAUUGACGGGCCGUGCUGCUUUGGAGGCAGCCAAGCAAAAAACAUACAAGGCAGCUACGGUGCGCACAGAACUUGAAAUAAGCGAUGGAAAAGGUAGAGCCAAUAGGGAAUUCGAAAUGAUUUGGAGGCCACUUUACUCUUGCUCCACUAGUGGCUCGCUAACUCUCCGAAUGUACAUUGGAAAAGUUUUCUUUUAGUUACUUAGGGUACUAAAUAAUUGCCUUCGUGAAAAUAUUUCAAAAGUAAAUAAACUGUACAAAUAUGUGACGUUAUUUUUGUUGUACGGCCUUACAAGCUUAAAAAUAUAAAUAAUUGUACAUUUGUUCGUUAUUUCUGAAAAUUACAACAAA